CCUACGGGCGGCAGCAGUGGGGAAUAUUGCACAAUGGGGGAAACCCUGAUGCAGCGACGCCGCGUGAGUGAAGAAGGCUUUCGGUAUGUAAAGCUCUAUCAGCAGGGAAGAAGAAAGACGGUACCUGACUAAGAAGCCCCGGCUAACUACGUACCAGCAGCCGCGGUAAUACGUAGGGGGCAAGCGUUCUCCGGCUUUACUGGGUGUAAAGGGAGCGUAGACGGUUGUGCAAGUCUGAAGUGAAAGCCCAGGGCUCAACCCUGGGACUGCAUUGGAAACUGUGGGGCUAGAGUGCAGGAGAGGGAAGUGGAAUUCCUGGUGUAGCGGUGAAAUGCGUAGAUAUUAGGAGGAACACCAGUGGCGAAGGCGGAUUACUGGACAGUAACUGACGUUGAGGCGCGAAAGCGUGGGGAGCAAACAGGAUUAGAUACCCGAGUAGUC
rnacentral:rRNA from 1 species